GCCAGCGUGGUUUAGUGGUUUGAAUGCUGGACUACAGCUUUGGAGACCAGGGUUCAGCUCCCUAGUUAGGAA